UUUCCGUAGGUGAACCUGCGGAAGGAUCAUUAUUGUAUAACCGAGGUGCGAGGGCUGUCGCUGACCCGAAAGGUCGUGCACGCCCGAGUGCCCUCACACACAUCCCUCUCACCCCUAUGUGCACCACCGCGUGGGUCCCCCUUUGGCUCGUUCGGAGGGGGGCUUACGUUUUCACACAAACUUUGUAUGCAGUGUAGAAUGUAUUUUUUUGUUUUUGCGAUCACGCAAUCAAUACAACUUUCAACAACGGAUCUCUUGGCUCUC
rnacentral:misc_RNA from 1 species